UUAAAGUAGCAAUACGCUUGAGAAACGGCCUGCGUCCCAUCAGCUAGUUGGUAAGGUAAUGGCUUACCAAGGCUAUGACGG
rnacentral:rRNA from 1 species